rnacentral:lncRNA from 1 species
UAAGAGAUGACGUUAUUAUGAAAACAUUGUACCUUUAAGAGUUUUCCCAGUAUAUGCCUGAUGUGUAUACAUUGUACGUUGUGUGGAAAAUAUCCAAAUCAAAGAGAAUGUUUUGGUAAAGAUGAGAUGUGAAGGUAGUGUCUAAAAUAGGAUUUUAGUCAAAUCUAGGCCUUGCUCCUUAACUUGGUCCGCCCAGAGAAUUGCCCUAAAGGCGGUUACACCCACUUCUGACCCGAGGGUAUAAGACAGGAGAGUGAAGAAUUAACAUAGGAGACUAAUUGACCCCAAGCUGCAGCGAAGGUCUAACAAAGUCAACGAACCCCAAAACGAAACACAAGGUUGAAGACAAAGAAAUCAUUUUCUACACGAGCUACGGACGAGUAGCUGUGUCUAAGCGGGUGAAUUCAAGCCGAACCACCCAGCCUCCACUCUCCAUUGAAUCGUGGUAUCUACACCGUUCGAGUCCGAAGCUGUGAGCUCUGAGCUACAGAGCUGUCUGUCCUCAGAAGACCCCUUUCAGAUCAAGGGCGAGGGAUCAGACCCCUAAGCCAAGAAGGACACUGACAUCGUGAGGACAACCAGAGAGUUGCGCCGGAGAAGUGCGUCAUUGAGAAGCCUAAACGACACACGCGGAGCUUCCCACCUGAGACCUCCAACACCCAAUGUAUCUACUCAAGUGAAAGGAACCAAGCCUGACAUUGAAGGGCUCCACAUGGAGGUACAGUAUUGUAAAUGAUAUGUCUCGAGAAUCAAACUGAAUUGCUGAACUACAUAACAUUUGUUCUGGUUGUUAUCGUUAUUAUCCUGAUAGUAACAAAUAUUCUCCUGACAAUCUUGCGGAGGAGAGCUCUGCAAGAAUGUAAGUAGUGUGCUAAAGUUUAUCUUUAAAAAGAAAUGUAUUUAACCUUUAUUUAACCAGAAAGAGUAAAUUGAGAUUUGAAAUCUCUUAUUUUCAAGAGCGUCUUGGCCAAGAUAGGCAGCACAGUCAUUACACAAUUACAGAUAGACAACAUGAAAAACUACAAGUAAUCUAGUAAAAACCAUAGAAUUCACAAGAGUAUAAAAAAAUCAUAAAACAGCAAAUUAAAAACAUUGACAGGUCAGGGAAUCAGUCUCAAAAUCCUUCAUCAGUGAUUUAAAAACACCAAUCGGGACAAGUUCUUCCAGUUUAAAAGUAUUUUGUAAGGCGUUCCAAGACAAUGGCGCAGAGUACAUAAAAGCCCUUUUACCAAAUUCAGUUCGGACAUUUGGAACAGUUAGCAGGAUAAAGUCCUGCGAACGAAGAGAGUAUCCACCACAUUUCUGAACAAUAAAAAUGCACCAAUAAAAUGGUAG